CAUGUCCUUUUGAAAAUAAUUUAAGGUCUGGCCUGCUCACUGAAAUUUUAAAUAGCCGCAGUAUAUUGACUGUGCAAAGGUAGCAUAAUAAUUAGUUUUUUAAUUAAAAACUGGAAUGAAUGGUUUGACAAGAAAAUUACUGUCUCUUUUUUAAUAUUAUUGAAUUUUAUUUUUAAGUGAAAAAGCUUAAAUGUUUAUAAAAGACGAGAAGACCCUAUAGAGUUUAAUAAAUUAUAAAAUUAAUAGUUAGUAUAUGUUUUUUUAAAAAUUUAUUUAGUUGGGGUGACUUAAAGAAAAAAUUAAUUCUUUAAAAAUUAAAUUGAAGAUUAUCAAAUUUUUAAUCUAUAGUUUAUAAAACUAAAAUAAAUUACCUUAGGGAUAACAGCGUAAUUUUUCUUUAAAGUUCUUAUUAAAAGAAAAGUUUGCGACCUCGAUGUUGGAUUAAAAUUAAUUUUUGGUGCAAUAACUUAAAAAUUGGGUCUGUUCGACCUUUAAAAUUUUACAUGAUCUGAGUUUAAACCGGUGUGAGCCAGGUUGGAUUCUAUCUUUAGAUAAAAAUUAUAUUUUAGUACGAAAGGACCAAAUAUAAAUUAAAUUAAUUG
rnacentral:rRNA from 1 species